rnacentral:misc_RNA from 1 species
CUAAAUUACUAAACAUGCUUAGUUGCCUUAUGGAUUAAUUGUGCCCAACAACAAAAAAGAUGAAGAAGAAAACACAUGGAAGAGAGUAGUGUGCAGAUAUUACCUUGCAUUGCUUUGCCUGGUCCAAAUGUCGGUAGGUGUAUUCCUUCCAUCUUCCUCAUCCGAGGACCGAGUUAAUGAGAUAGUAAUAUAAGAAUUUGGCUCUGCAGUGGAAUUGACUUGGGG